CAAUUGGGAACUGUUUUUAUAAUGAUUAAUUUGUUUUUAUAGCGUGUUGCAGUUAAUCAAAGGUUACUAAUCAAUUUAACUUAUAAAAUAUGAACAAAAUAAGAACAAAUAAUAAUAUUUACAUAUUUUAUUUUGCUCAUAGUAGGUACAAUUGAAGUAUCAUAUGAUAUAAUAUGAAGUCUUUUAAAAAAACAUUUUUUUUUAGUCUAAGAUGCAUAUUUUUAUUGGCUUUGAACUAGCAGUCAGUACUGUGAGUACUCUCAGAUCUGUACUUAGUGUCUUUGUUGUGGUUAUGUCCCAAGCCAGGAGCCUGUAAGUCAGUGGUUGUCGUUUGUUGCCGUGUAACAUAUUUGUUUUUCGUUCAUUAUUUUGUACAUGAAUUAUGCCAUUAGUUUUCUCGUUUUACAUUAGUCAUUUUGGGGCCUUUUGUAGCUAUGUGGUAUGGGAUUUGCUCAUUGUUGAAGGCCGUAUGGUGACCUAUAGUUGUUAAUUUCUGUGUCAUUUGGUCUCUUUGGGAGAGUUGUCUCAUUGACAAUCAUA
rnacentral:lncRNA from 1 species